UUAUUAUGACUACAUACGCCCAUGGGUAGAGGAGCAGCUCUGGAGUGACAAUGACUCCGAUGACGAAGACAUUUCAAAUGCCUCGAUCAGCAGCAUCAUACCUCCUGCUGGUUUGCUCCAACCAUACCGUCUCAAGAAUAGGUUGAUCGCUGCUGGAGGUAGUAGUUCAAACAGUCACACUAAACACGAA
rnacentral:lncRNA from 1 species